GCAUGGAUAUUCACUCUCGCACAUUGUUUCCAAUAAAAUUUACACACCGUAUGAUAUCAAUUGCUAAAGACGCAUUAUUUAAACUCAUCCGCAUAUAACAUAGACUAGUCGGCUAGUCAGUCAGACAUUCCGCUGGUAAUCCGACACGUUUACUGGAAGGUAUCCGCCAUUGUUAGGUUAUGCAGGUAUCUUCCUUACCAGUAGUAGCCUGUGUAGUUGAAAGUUUGUAAUUCCGCCGCCAGAAGGCACCAUAUACGCCAACAUGGCCACGUGCUGGUUGUUUUCGUGAGUAAAAGUGAGCGGUGUCCUCCGUGUUUUCCGUGGGAAAAGAACCGAUAACGUAACCCCGGCGGUACAAUGAUAGGCACAUAAAUUGCCGCAUCAUAAUCCAAACUAUGAGCUCACGGUGAAUGUCAGUGCUCGUGGUGCUCUUGGCGAGCAUGGCAGGCUCCGCCGUAGGCACUACUUCCUGCACUUGCUCCAAACCAUCUACAAAGAGUGAGAUUUCUUUCCGGAACGAUCCGCCGGCAUCUUACACGGUUAAAGGAUACAGACCUCACGGAAACCUCGCACGUAUCAUCUACGAGAAAAAGAAGGCCGAUGAAAGGCUCGAAGCUUACGACAAGACACAGUGGUAUCGUAUAGACGAGAGCAGGAUUCGCGAGGAUUUAAUAAAACUCUGGCUGCCACUUGGAGUCGGUCCUCAUCAGGAUCAACCCGAUGCUGCUGCUGAGGCCUUCCUUGACCAAUCGAUAGAUAGAUCAGACUCGCUGCCGCUACAAGCGUGGCACUCUUUGGCAAGGUCCGCACUUUCCUGGUUCAUGAGCAGGACUUCGAUAAAUGGACUCCUAGGGCGAGGAUCCAUGCACGUCUUCUCCACAGAACAAUUUCAGAAAUUGAUGAGCGCCAGUAAAUACAAGGGACCCUGGAACUCUUUGGUUGAUCUUGGUGCAGGCGAUGGAGCAACAACAGCGCACGUGGCACAGCUCUUCAAGAAGGUCUACGCUACUGAAAUUUCACCACCCAUGAGAUGGACCCUUGCCAAACGAGGUUUCACAUUGCUCGACGUCAACAAUUGGCACACGGAUGCUGGACCCUUUGACGUGAUACUCUGCUUGAAUCUUCUUGACCGUUGCGACAGACCCAAUACUCUCCUCAGAAGACUGAAAGACACUCUGGCACCUGGUGGUAGACUGGUGGUCGCCCUAGUGCUACCAUUUAGUCCGUACGUCGAGGUCGGCGAGAGAGGAGAUCACAAGCCGUCCGAAUAUCUUCCUGUAAAAGGAAACGGUCUCGAAGGUCAAAUUGCCAGUUUGAUUGACAGAGUUUUCAGUCCUCUUGGUCUAAGGUGUCUUGUUUGGAGUAAAUUACCUUACCUUUGCGAAGGAGAUCUUGGACAAGCAUUUUAUUUCCUCGACGACGUUGUCUUUAUCCUGGAAGCGCACAAGGAAGAACCUCAUUGUCCCUCAACCGAAAUUACAGUUGGGACAUCGACUAACGAGACUGAUGAAUCAUGAAUCAUGAAGAUGAUGAUGGUGAAGGAUAUAGGACAAUGACGUCGAAUACAGAGGCGAGUCACAUUUGUAAAAAGUUUAAUAAUUAUUUAUGGUGAAUGAAUUACGCAGGAAUAUAGGAAGAAAAAUCGAAAGAGCAAUACUGACAAGCGACGACAAAUUUUAUGUGCAGACACAGCUGUAGCGUUUGUAUACACCGCAGAAUACAAAGACAGGACCAACUGUCUUACUUAGUCCAAUUUUCGCUGCUCACACAUAUCUUCAAGUCCCCCUGCCUUCCUACGCAUAAGAUGUUUCAUGUCCCAUCAGCUGGAAACUGGAAUAUGUGGCGGUGGCAAGAAACUCCUCAAUGACUGUACAAGCUGUAUAGUGUCAACCAAUGCUGCAGCAGACAAUAAUAAGGAACUAUUCCGUUAAUUGAAUAGAAACUGACUGUCGUGGGAACUUCAUCAAAUCAUCACAAAACUUAAUACAGUUACUAAGGCGAAUUCUUCAUUGCUUCCAUGUAUAUCAGUUAUAAAUUAGAAUUUAUCAAUGAAAUACUUCGCAGUGUUUACACAUACUCUAUGAACAAAACAUUUUCUUUUUUUAGUUUCUUAUACAUUUCUACCCUUUAUAAAAUAUUUUACAAAUUCUUCAAUAAAACUCAUGUAAUCGUUUUGUAACUUUAUACACAGAAAA